rnacentral:rRNA from 1 species
UACGGGGGGGGGCAAGCGUUGUUCGGAAUUACUGGGCGUAAAGGGCGCGUAGGCGGCCUACUAAGUCGGACGUGAAAUCCCUCGGCUCAACCGAGGAACUGCGUCCGAUACUGGUGGGCUUGAAUCCGGGAGAGGGAUGUGGAAUUCCAGGUGUAGCGGUGAAAUGCGUAGAUAUCUGGAGGAACACCGGUGGCGAAGGCGGCAUCCUGGACCGGUAUUGACGCUGAUGCGCGAAAGCCAGGGGAGCAAACGGG